CUAGAUGCCCUGUGAGCGCACUUAGCAGGAAAACUAGACAAUCCACCAGCCCAGGAGGGGACAAGCAGGCUUAUUCCUCCUCCUCGUCAUCUCUGGCUCCAGCCCCACCCUGGCCCUUGCUGGCAUUCUUCCUCUUCACGUGGCUGGGGUUGGCCACCCCAAUAGGGAAGCAGAGGGAGAAGUCAAUGUGCUUCUGGGAAUCCAGGCGGACAGUGAAGAACAGGAUAUUUACCACCUGCUCACGGACACGGAUAUGACACUGUUGAAUCAGCACAUGAGCGUGGCGGAUGGACUUAGCCAAGCCAAGCUUGAAGACCUGGGUCUGUAGGAAUCUCUAAGAAAUCAUUGAUCUUCAGGCCCAGGAUGUAAUCCAGCUUCAUCU
rnacentral:lncRNA from 1 species